rnacentral:rRNA from 1 species
CACCGCGGUUAUACGAGAGGCUCAAGUUGAUAAACACCGGCGUAAAAUGUGGUUAACAUAUUGUUGUACUAAAGCUAAACAUCUUCAAAGCUGUUAUACCCACACGAAGACAGGAAAACCUUCUACGAAAGUGGCUUUAAACUAAUGCUAACCCACGAAAACUAGGAAA